rnacentral:rRNA from 1 species
UACGUAGGGUGCAAGCGUUAAUCGGAAUUACUGGGCGUAAAGCGCACGUAGGCGGAUAUUUAAGUCAGGGGUGAAAUCCCAGAGCUCAACUCUGGAACUGCAUCUGAUACUGGGUAUCUUGAGUAUGGAAGAGGUGAGUGGAAUUGCGAGUGUAGAGGUGAAAUUCGUAGAUAUUCGCAGGAACACCAGUGGCGAAGGCGGCUCACUGGCUCGACACUGACGCUGAGGUGCGAAAGCAUGGGGAGCAAACAGG